rnacentral:rRNA from 1 species
UACAGGGGGUGCAAACGUUGCUCGGAAUUAUUGGGCGUAAAGCGCGCGUAGGCGGCUAUUUAAGGCGGAUGUGAAAGCCCUUGGCUCAACUGAGGAAGUGCACCCGAAACUGAGUGGCUUGAGUACCAAAGAGGGUCGCGGAAUUCCCGGUGUAGAGGUGAAAUGCGCAGAUAUCAGGAGGAACACCGGUGGCGAAGGCGGGUCUCUGGGCCGAUACUGACGCUGAGGAGCGAAAGCGUGGGGAGCGAACAGG